UGGAUAUAAAAGACGCUGGUCGUGCCA
rnacentral:sRNA from 1 species